rnacentral:rRNA from 2 species
AGUAGGGAAUCUUCCGCAAUGGACGAAAGUCUGACGGAGCAACGCCGCGUGAACGAUGAAGGCCUUCGGGUCGUAAAGUUCUGUUGUUAGGGAAGAACAAGUACCGGAGUAACUGCCGGUACCUUGACGGUACCUAACCAGAAAGCCACGGCUAACUACGUGCCAGCAGCCGCGGUAAUACGUAGGUGGCAAGCGUUGUCCGGAAUUAUUGGGCGUAAAGCGCGCGCAGGCGGUCCUUUAAGUCUGAUGUGAAAGCCCACGGCUCAACCGUGGAGGGUCAUUGGAAACUGGGGGACUUGAGUACAGAAGAGGAAAGUGGAAUUCCACGUGUAGCGGUGAAAUGCGUAGAGAUGUGGAGGAACACCAGUGGCGAAGGCGACUUUCUGGUCUGUAACUGACGCUGAGGCGCGAAAGCGUGGGGAGCAAACAGGAUUAGAUACCCUGGUAGUCCACGCCGUAAACGAUGAGUGCUAAGUGUUAGAGGGUUUCCGCCCUUUAGUGCUGCAGCUAACGCAUUAAGCACUCCGCCUGGGGA